UUUACAAGGGUGUUGCCAGGACUCGAAGAUCUGAGCUACAGUAUAAGGAGAGGUUAAGCAGCCUGGGACUCUAUCCCCUGGAGCGCAGGAGAAUGAGGGGUGAUCUUAUAGAGAUGUAUGAAAUGAUGAGAGGAAUAGAUCGAGUGGACGCAGAGAAUCUCUUGCACAGAGUGGGGGAAAUCUAGGACCAGAGG